ACUAAUAUCUCUCUUUAUUCUGCCGGUAGUUGAUUACUGCCGGCAGAAUUAAUAGCCCCCUUUAUUCUGCCGGUAGUUACUGCCGGCAGACUAUCUCUCUUUAUUCUGCCGGUAGUUGGUUACUGCCGGCAGAAUAAACACCCCUACUUAUUCUGCCGGUACCGGCAGAAUAUCCACGUCCUUUCUAGAAAGAGUCGUCCAGCCUAAAUAAUUGCCCCGUACUUUGCGCAGAUGCCUUCCAGAAAGAGGCCAUCCUGCUGCAUUUUUGACUCGUAAAUUUGCGUCGAUGUUUUCUAGAAAGAGGUGUUCGGCCUAAAUAAUUUGUCCUGUAAAUUAGAAAUUUCUAGGAAAACAACGUGUGGACGAAGCAUGGUUGGCCAAGUUGAUGGCUGGAUGGAAAGAAAGACCUUAUAGCAGCAGUGCAGGAAGCUGCAAGGAUUCUCACUGACGCCACUAACGAAAAUCGAUUUUGAAGCUAGCUAAAGUUUGGCAGUGCAUGAGAUGAGGAGGGACAAAACACUAAAUUACUUUAUUUUGCAGGGACUUUGAUAUUAUUUUUUGGCUAUUAGAGCAGCUUUGAUUUUAAGAAGUUGUUUUCUAGGUUGUAAAACUUCAACAAUGGCUAAUAGUUAUCUUUUUUUUUCUUGUUUUUCCUAUUUUAUACUUUUAUUGUAAAGAGUAGCCAUUUUUUAUCCUACAGUUUUGCAUUUUGCAUCGUGUUCUGUAGCUAAGUAACUUAAUAAUUAUUUUUUAUAUUUAGUUAAGACUUUGGUGGGCUUUCUCAAGAUUAAAUUGUUAAAAUCAAAGAUGUUUAUGCCUAGCUAGCUAGCUAAUCUUCGCUUUAUCGCAAGAUUGGGUGCUAAUAUACAAUUUAUAAAGAAACAUUAAUAAAUGAUUG